rnacentral:rRNA from 1 species
AACGAACGCUGGCGGCGUGGAUAAGACAUGCAAGUCGAACGGGGCAAUGCUUGUAGUAAUAUGAGUGUUGUUCAGUGGCGAACGGGUGCGUAACACGUGGAUACAUUCCGGAAAGCGGGGGAUAGCCCAGGGAAACUUGGAUUAAUACCGCAUGUGGUCGAAAGACUAAAGGUGGGGACCGCAAGGCCUGCCACUUUCCGAUUGGUCCGCGGCCUAUCAGCUAGUUGGCGGGGUAAAGGCCCACCAAGGCUACGACGGGUAGCUGGUCUUAGAGGACGACCAGCCACACUGGAACUGAGACACGGUCCAGACACCUACGGGUGGCAGCAGUCGAGAAUCUUUCACAAUGGGGGCAACCCUGAUGGAGCGACACCGCGUGGAGGAUAAGGUCUUCGGAUUGUAAACUCCUGUCAUGCGCGAACAAGGUUGCUGGGUUAAUAACCCGGCAAAUUGAUGGUACCGCAAGAGGAAGAGACGGCUAACUCUGUGCCAGCCGCCGCAGUAACAC